AUUGAACGCUGGCGGCAGGCCUAACACAUGCAAGUCGGACGAGUGGCGGACGGGUGAGUAAUGUAUGGGGAUCUUCCUGAUGGAGGGGGAUAACUACUGGAAACGGUAGCUAAUACCGCAUACCAUCAGUUUAACCCAUAUGGGAUUAGCUAGUAGGUGGGGUAACGGCUCACCUAGGCGACGAUCCCUAGCUGGUCUGAGAGGAUGAUCAGCAACACUGGGACUGAGACACGGCCCAGACUCCUACGGGAGGCAGCAGUGGGGAAUAUUGCACAAUGGGCGCAAGCCUGAUGCAGCCAUGCCGCGUGUAUGAAGAAGGCCUUCGGGUUGUAAAGUACUUUCAGUCGGGAGGCGUUACCGACAGAAGAAGCACCGGCUAACUCCGUGCCAGCAGCCGCGGUAAUAC
rnacentral:rRNA from 1 species